rnacentral:rRNA from 1 species
CACGUAGGGGGCGAGCGUUGUCCGGAUUUAUUGGGCGUAAAGAGCUCGUAGGCGGCCUUCUAAGUCGAACGUGAAAUCCCCGGGCUCAACCCGGGAACUGCGUCCGAUACUGGAAGGCUUGAAUCCGGGAGAGGGAUGCGGAAUUCCAGGUGUAGCGGUGAAAUGCGUAGAUAUCUGGAGGAACACCGGUGGCGAAGGCGGCAUCCUGGACCGGCAUUGACGCUGAGGCGCGAAAGCGUGGGGAGCAAACAGG